rnacentral:rRNA from 1 species
AGUGAACGCUGACGGUAGGCCUAGCACAUGCAAGUCGAACGGCAGCACAGUAAGAGCUUGCUCUUACGGGUGGCGAGUGGCGGACGGGUGAGGAAUACAUCGGAAUCUACUUUUUCGUGGGGGAUAACGUAGGGAAACUUACGCUAAUACCGCAUACGACCUACGGGUGAAAGCAGGGGAUCUUCGGACCUUGCGCGAUUGAAUGAGCCGAUGUCGGAUUAGCUAGUUGGCGGGGUAAAGGCCCACCAAGGCGACGAUCCGUAGCUGGUCUGAGAGGAUGAUCAGCCACACUGGAACUGAGACACGGUCCAGACUCCUACGGGAGGCAGCAGUGGGGAAUAUUGGACAAUGGGCGCAAGCCUGAUCCAGCCAUACCGCGUGGGUGAAGAAGGCCUUCGGGUUGUAAAGCCCUUUUGUUGGGAAAGAAAAGCAGCAGGUUAAUACCCCGCUGUUCUGACGGUACCCAAAGAAUAAGCACCGGCUAACUUCGUG